rnacentral:rRNA from 1 species
CAGUCGCCGCGGGAAUACGUAGGGUGCAAGCGUUAACCGGAAUUACUGGGCGUAAAGCGUGCGCAGGCGGUUUUGUAAGACAGAGGUGAAAUCCCCGGGCUCAACCUGAGAACUGCCUUUGUGACUGCAAGGCUGGAGUGCGGCAGAGGGGGAUGGGAUUCCGCGUGUAGCAGUGAAAUGCGUAGAUAUGCGGAGGAACACCGAUGGCGAAGGCAAUCCCCUGGGCCUGCACUGACGCUCAUGCACGAAAGCGUGGGGAGCAAACAGGAUUAGAUACCCGCGUAGUCCCUGUCUCUUAUAC